UGCGGAAGGAUCAUUACCGAGUGCGGGUCCUUUGGGCCCAACCUCCCAUCCGUGUCUAUUGUACCCUGUUGCUUCGGCGGGCCCGCCGCUUGUCGGCCGCCGGGGGGGCGCCUCUGCCCCCCGGGCCCGUGCCCGCCGGAGACCCCAACACGAACACUGUCUGAAAGCGUGCAGUCUGAGUUGAUUGAAUGCAAUCAGUUAAAACUUUCAACAAUGGAUCUCUUGGUUCCGGCAUCGAUGAAGAACGCAGCGAAAUGCGAUAACUAAUGUGAAUUGCAGAAUUCAGUGAAUCAUCGAGUCUUUGAACGCACAUUGCGCCCCCUGGUAUUCCGGGGGGCAUGCCUGUCCGAGCGUCAUUGCUGCCCUCAAGCCCGGCUUGUGUGUUGGGUCGCCGUCCCCCUCUCCGGGGGGACGGGCCCGAAAGGCAGCGGCGGCACCGCGUCCGAUCCUCGAGCGUAUGGGGCUUUGUCACAUGCUCUGUAGGAUUGGCCGGCGCCUGCCGACGUUUUCCAACCAUUCUUUCCAGGUUGACCUCGGAUCAGGUAGGGAUACCCGCUGAACUUAAGCAUAUCAAUAA
rnacentral:rRNA from 1 species